UUAUCCGACCGCACCCAAUUCCAAUCCCCACCCACCGUCGUGCUCCAUCCAUCCUCCCUCCAAGCCGCCAGCCAAACUCCAAUCCAGCCGCCGCCAUCCAGACUCCAUCUCGCAGUCUUUGGAUGGAGCUGCUGUUCAUGAAACCCUAGGUCACCGGCGACCUUGCAGCCUACGGGCGGCGCCACCCAUCCUCCAGCUCACCGGCGGCGUCCAGCUUGCACCCACCGCCACCCAUUAGCCUCCAGCUCGCCGGCGGCCUUCCCAAACCGACCGUCGCGUCCUUUUGGUCCGUGAGAUUCUGGACGCUCGCAGCCCAACGCCAUCUUCAAGCCCCUCCCGUCGCCGUCGCAAGCCAUCGACGGAACCCUAGCUCAUCGGCGUGCUUGCUUGAAGGUUUCGCCUCUGUCCACCCGUCGCUGCUGAAGGACCCCUCCAUCACCACAUCCCUCGUUCCUGGAAGGAUCCAAACCCUGCCACUAGUAUUGCCAGCACCAAGAACUUCUUGUUAUGGCGCCGAAGGGUGUGCCAAAGAAACCAAAAUGAUGUCCUAUAGCAGCACCAGCGCUCAAUCCAUAUCAAAUGGUGCGCCUGAGACAAUGCAUGAGCAACAGUGCAAGGCUGAAGGAACUUGGACUUUCUGAUCGUGAGUACAGCCGAGUUUGGGCACAAGAUGUUGCUGGUCAUGACAAGAAUCAAAGUGAAGGUGUUCAGUCUGACAAGUAUCAAAGUGGAGACUCUGAGUCUGAGUAUGAUCCUUUACAGGAUGAUAAUGGGGAAGGAGGUUCGAUAGAUAAUGACAAUGCUAAGUGCUCUAAGGAGAAGUCUCGCAAGAAAACUAAGAACCAACAUUCUGGUGGAGUCAAGUUUCAGUCUCGCAAGAGAGUUUUUGCAGACCAAACACCUAGAGUUACAAGGACAAGGGUUGCCCAGCAAGGUGCAAGUAUCACACCAAGUGACAUUUGUGCGCCGCCUACAUCACAAGCUAAUGAGAGCCAUGCUGGAGAACUUGUUGGCAACUUAGAUGACCACACACAGGCUGCUUU